UACGGAGGGUGCAAGCGUUAAUCGGAAUUACUGGGCGUAAAGCGCACGCAGGCGGUUUGUUAAGUCAGGUGUGAAAUCCCCAGGCUCAACCUUGGAACUGCCUUUGAUACUGGCAAGCUUGAGUCCGGUAGAGGGGGGUGGAAUUCCAGGUGUAGCGGUGAAAUGCGUAGAGAUCAGGAGGAAUACCAGUGGCGAAGGCGGCCCCCUGGACGAAGACUGACGCUGAGGUGCGAAAGCGCGGGGAGCAAACAGG
rnacentral:rRNA from 1 species